rnacentral:misc_RNA from 1 species
AACGCAAAUUGCGCUCUCGGGAUAGGCCUGGGAGCACGCCUCUUUGAGCAUCGUUUCAACCACAACUCGAAAGCGUGCUUAAUUGCAUCGCUGACGGAGAAUGAGCGCUCUUGCGACUAGCGAGACGCUUCAAAAUGAGCGAGUGACUUGACUUCUGUCGAAAGAUAGAUUCCUGUCUUGUGGUGACGAGGAUAACUUCACAUUCACUUGUGAACCCUUCCAUCGUGACUGCGAGACGAGAGACUGUCUCUGUGAUGGCUGUCGCAUUGUCACGGCCCUUCUGCGAGUCAUCUGUCGCGGUGAACGCAGAACUCCAAUUUGAACUAGAUCUCAAAUGAAGCGAGAAAACCCGCUGAACUUAA